rnacentral:rRNA from 1 species
GACGAACGCUGGCGGCGUGCCUAAUACAUGCAAGUAGAACGCUGGAGGAGGAGCUUGCUUCUCUGGAUGAGUUGCGAACGGGUGAGUAACGCGUAGGUAACCUGCCUGGUAGCGGGGGAUAACUAUUGGAAACGAUAGCUAAUACCGCAUAAGAGUAGAUGUUGCAUGACAUUUGCUUAAAAGGUGCAAUUGCAUCACUACCAGAUGGACCUGCGUUGUAUUAGCUAGUUGGUGGGGUAACGGCUCACCAAGGCGACGAUACAUAGCCGACCUGAGAGGGUGAUCGGCCACACUGGGACUGAGACACGGCCCAGACUCCUACGGGAGGCAGCAGUAGGGAAUCUUCGGCAAUGGACGGAAGUCUGACCGAGCAACGCCGCGUGAGUGAAGAAGGUUUUCGGAUCGUAAAGCUCUGUUGUAAGAGAAGAACGAGUGUGAGAGUGGAAAGUUCACACUGUGACGGUAUCUUACCAGAAAGAGACGGCUAACUACGUG